rfam:Stegodyphus mimosarum contig38140, whole genome shotgun sequence.
GCUCUUGUCGUUUAGUGGAUAAAACGUUGGCUUCUUGAGUUAAAGAUUUUGGAUUCAAGUGUCACCAGGAGUG